GACGAACGCUGGCGGCGUGCUUAACACAUGCAAGUCGAACGGAAAGGCCCUGCUUUUGUGGGGUGCUCGAUUGGCGAACGGGUGAGUAACACGUGAGUAACCUGCCCUUGACUUUGGGAUAACUUCAGGAAACUGGGGCUACUACCGGAUAGGAGCUCCUGCUGCAUGGUGGGGGGUGGAAAGUUUCGGCGGUUGGGGAUGGACUCGCGGCUUAUCAGCUUGUUGGUGGGGUAGUGGCUUACCAAGGCUUUGACGGGUAGCCGGCCUGAGAGGGUGACCGGCCACAUUGGGACUGAGAUACGGCCCAGACUCCUACGGGAGGCAGCAGUGGGGAAUAUUGCACAAUGGGCGGAAGCCUGAUGCAGCAACGCCGCGUGCGGGAUGACGGCCUUCGGGUUGUAAACCGCUUUCGCCUGUGACGAAGCGUGAGUGACGGUAAUGGGUAAAGAAGCACCGGCUAACUACGUG
rnacentral:rRNA from 1 species